rnacentral:lncRNA from 1 species
UUCCUUUUAUGCUUUGUUCAAAUCAAAACUGUAGUAAUUCACCUCUUGUCUCAAGUAAUCCAUAAGUUUUGCAUUUUUGGCAGUUCGGACGGGGUUUUCCGCUGCUACUUUCAUUUUCUGGAUUUGGACCCUAAUGGCCUCAUUUUUUUUUACCCGUUUCUUAUUUUUGCCCACAUCUGCUACGGCCUACAAAUCUUUCUCAAAUUGGAAAUUCAUGACCUGCUUCUCCAGAUUUCCUAUUGUAGCCCUGUACUUAUGUUCUUUAGCCAACCAGUCCUACUGCUCUUGCGAUGCUUCGACGAAUUCCUGGAGAUGGGGCCUCUUGGCUGGCCUCUCGAACUCAAUUUCUCUAGUGUACCAAGCAAGGUAUCCUGGCGACACUUCGCCUCUUGACAGAUCUCAUAUGCAAGUGUUUGCUAUUAGUUAUUGGCAUUCAUUCCAAAUUUUGCGGAUUGUUGCUUUAGAGAACUGACCAUCAGGUCCAAUCUCGACUACCCAAAUGCUGAGAUCUUUGUCUUUUGACACUAUCUGCCACAUCUCGAGCUGUCUCAAGACCCAAUACAGGCAUAAGGCUGGAUGCUCGUAAGACCAAUCAUAAGGAAGUGAGGCCCAGUUGCUGGAAUGUAUAUGAUCUCGUCCACAGACAACCAUCCUAGUGUCCACUCUAUUUGACUGGCAGUGAGGGACCGAAAGUAAGAUAUCCAUCCUGUUACUCCUCCAGGCAAGCUAAGCCCUUUAAUCCUUGUGUAUAAUUCCUCUAUACAAGUUUUCUCCGUUGACCCAUAGCUGAUCAACUGGGGACGGUGGCAUUGAUGUUCGAUCAUCCACAUUUGCAACAACAGAUUAAACCCCUCAAAGAAAU